rnacentral:rRNA from 1 species
UACCAUGCCAGUUCCGAGCGNANAAAGUANACUUCGGUUCUUAAUGAAGAUAGCAGCGGCGCACGUGGAUGAGAUAACGCGCUGGAUGAUCUACCCAUUGAGAUACGGGAAUAACGGUAACGAAAGAUCCGCUAAUACCGUAUAACAAUCCAUUUCAACGUGGGUUCAAAGCAGGCCUCUUCGUGAAAGCUUGCGCUUGGGGAUGAGUCCGCGUCCCAUUAGCUUGUUGGCGGGGUAACGGCCCACCAAGGCUACGAUGGGUAGCUGGUCUGAGAGGAUGACCAGCCACACUGGAACUGAAACACGGUCCAGACUCCUACGGGAGGCAGCAGUGGGGAAUAUUGCGCAAUGGGGGAAACCCUGACGCAGCGACGUCGUGUGAGGGAAGAAGGCCUUCGGGUCGUAAACCUCUGUCAGAAGGGAAGAAAAACUAGGAGUCAAAUAGCCUCUUAGUCUGACGGUACCUUCAAAGGAAGCGCCGGCUAACUCCGUGCCAGCAGCCGCGGUAAUACGGAGGGCGCAAGCGUUAAUCAGGAAUUACUGGGCGUAAAGCGUGCGUAGGCUGUCUGAUAAGUCAGGCGUGAAAUCCCUCGGCUCAACUGGGGAACUGCGUUUGAUACUGUUGGACUCGAGUCCUGGAGAGGGUGGCGGAAAUCCUGGUGUAGGAGUGAAAUCCGUAGUAUAUCACGAGGAAACACCGGUG